UGGACCUCAGAUCAGGCAAGAUCACCCGCUGAGUUUAAGCAUAUCACUAAGCGGAGGAAAAGAAACUAACAAGGAUUUCCUUAGUAACGGCGAGCGAACCGGAAGUAGCCCAGCUUGA
rnacentral:rRNA from 1 species